CGGAGCGUGGCGCAGCCUGGAUAGCGCACCUGAAUGGGGUUCAGGAGGUCGUCGGUUCGAAUCCGACCGCUCCGACUA
rnacentral:tRNA from 1 species